rnacentral:rRNA from 2 species
ACUCCUACGGGAGGCAGCAGUGGGGAAUUUUGGACAAUGGGCGCAAGCCUGAUCCAGCAAUGCCGCGUGCAGGAUGAAGGCCUUCGGGUUGUAAACUGCUUUUGUACGGAACGAAAAGCCCUGGGUUAAUACCCUGGGGUCAUGACGGUACCGUAAGAAUAAGCACCGGCUAACUACGUGCCAGCAGCCGCGGUAAU